rnacentral:rRNA from 1 species
CAAUAGCGUAUAUUAAAGUUGUUGCAGUUAAAAAGCUCGUAGUUGGACUUGUGGUGGUCUUGGGGUCCGAUUCCGGUACUCUCGGGGACUGCCAUCUUUGGGUGGAUCCUGUGUGGCAUUAGGUUGUCGUGCAGGGGAUGCCCAUCGUUUACUGUGAAAAAAUUAGAGUGUUCAAAGCAGGCUUAUGCCGUUGAAUAUAUUAGCAUGGAAUAAUGAGAUAGGACCUUGGUACUAUUUUGUUGGUUUGCGCACCGAGGUAAUGAUUAAUAGGGACAGUUGUGGGUAUUCGUAUUCCAUUGUCAGAGGUGAAAUUCUUGGAUUUCUGGAAGACGAACUAAUGCGAAAGCAUUUACCAAGGAUGUUUUCAUUAA